rnacentral:rRNA from 1 species
UACGUAGGCAGCGAGCGUUGUUCGGAGUUACUGGGCGUAAAGAGUGCGUAGGCGGUUUUCUAAGUUUGGUGUGAAAUCUCCCGGCUCAACUGGGAGGGUGCGCCGAAGACUGGAAGGCUUGAGUAUGGGAGAGGUAAGCGGAAUUCCUGGUGUAGCGGUGAAAUGCGUAGAUAUCAGGAGGAACACCAGCGGCGAAGGCGGCGCUCUGGGCUGGCACUGACGCUGAGGAGCGAAAGCGUGGGUAGCGAACAGG